GACGAACGCUGGCGGCGUGCCUAAUACAUGCAAGUAGAACGCUGAAGGAGGAGCUUGCUUCUCUGGAUGAGUUGCGAACGGGUGAGUAACGCGUAGGUAACCUGCCUGGUAGCGGGGGAUAACUAUUGGAAACGAUAGCUAAUACCGCAUAAGAGUAGAUGUUGCAUGACAUUUGCUUAAAAGGUGCAAUUGCAUCACUACCAGAUGGACCUGCGUUGUAUUAGCUAGUUGGUGGGGUAACGGCUCACCAAGGCGACGAUACAUAGCCGACCUGAGAGGGUGCUCGGCCACACUGGGACUGAGACACGGCCCAGACUCCUACGGGAGGCAGCAGUAGGGAAUCUUCGGCAAUGGACGGAAGUCUGAACGAGCAACGCCGCGUGAGUGAAGAAGGUUUUCGGAUCGUAAAGCUCUGUUGUAAGAGAAGAACGAGUGUGAGAGUGGAAAGUUCACACUGUGACGGUAUCUUACCAGAAAGGGACGGCUAACUACGUG
rnacentral:rRNA from 1 species